rnacentral:rRNA from 1 species
UCAGGCCUAACACAUGCAAGUCGAACGGCAGCACGGGAGCAAUCCUGGUGGCGAAUGGCGAACGGGUGAGUAAUACAUCGGAACGUGCCCAGUCGUGGGGGAUAACUACUCGAAAGAGUGGCUAAUACCGCAUACGACCUGAGGGUGAAAGCGGGGGACCGCAAGGCCUCGCGCGAUUGGAGCGGCCGAUGUCAGAUUAGCUAGUUGGUGGGGUAAAGGCCCACCAAGGCGACGAUCUGUAGCUGGUCUGAGAGGACGACCAGCCACACUGGGACUGAGACACGGCCCAGACUCCUACGGGAGGCAGCAGUGGGGAAUUUUGGACAAUGGGCGCAAGCCUGAUCCAGCCAGGCCGCGUGCGGGAAGAAGGCCUUCGGGUUGAAACUAAUGGGUCAGGGAAGAAAUCUUCUGGCUAAUACCUCGGGAGG